AUGGCAUGGGACUCAUACGAGACCAGGAUGAUCAUAGAAGAGGAAGAGCUGGCGAGACAGCGUGAUCUGGCACAGAGGGACACUCUCCUGAGGCAGUUGGGCAUGGUCGAUGCCAUCCAGAGUCUCUUACGGCCCAAAACGUAUCACCCCACGCCAGCAAAGACUCACCGCCCAAUCCGCCAAAAAUGGAAGCUACAACUCCGGGAGCCACUUCUUUACACCACCUACAGUUGUCCUGAAGCACAUACAGGGCAGCAAUUCAACUUGCCAAGACUGUGCCAGCAGCAAACAAAACUGGCUACGGGUACCAGGUCGGGUGGGCUCUCCGUGUGUGUGAUCAAACUGGCCCUGCAUGAGAAGCAGGAACACAGACAACCGACAUUGCCACUGAGUAAGACAGCAUUUCCAGAUCAAGCCGAUCGAUUCAGUGUAACAGUGUAACAGGGUAAAAGUGUAACGGAGAAUUGGAAUAUAAAGUUUCAUUGCUCUCUGUGUGUUUGUGGGUGUGUGUGUGUGUGUGUGUUAGUAACUGGACGCUCUGUAGACCAGUGGCGUUGCAGUCUUAAACUCUCAGCAUCUCAGGAGAGCGAUGAGGACUUAAGUCGAGGACAUAUGACUGAAUCACACAACUCUCUCUCGUUCAGCUCGGUGGAUGAAGAAGUUCUGCUGGAAGCAGAGCACUCGGAAGCCAAAGACCCCAAACCCAAAAGGUGAGAAGAAAUUGAAAUCAGACCAUACAGUGGGCUCACAGCUGAGGCACUUCAGAAGCAAUGGUUCAGUGUGAUCAGUCUUUAUGCUCUCUGAUAAGAGCAUUGCCUCCUAACCAAUAUACACACAGCAAAUACAGUAAAAGCCACAUAAUGGCUAACUGUAUCUGUCUCUUACAGGUUUGACUGACCCGGAUGAAACUCACAGAUGGACACCACAUCUGAUUGCAUAAGCUCUGUAGAAUCCACAGAAUCCAACUAUUUUUGUGGUUAAAAUAUGUUAGCAUUUUCUUUACUCUCUCUCUUUGUGAUUGUGUGUGUGUUUCAAUGAAAUAAAAAAAAAUAAUAGGAAUGAUGGAAAUGUGAC
rnacentral:lncRNA from 1 species